ensembl:lncRNA
CCUCAAACAGCAAACACUCCUCAAAAACAGUUUACUAUGCGGUCACGUUGCUUCAAAGAAAGGAUGAGGAGCCCAACUGAAAAAAAAUAAAGUAUAGUAAUUGGAAAAUAGCGUUUAGUCACAGAGGAGCUGUAAAAACAAUAGAGGAUGCUCCGAGAUCUGAAAGCCUCUGUGGUUCAGUAAGGUUUCUCUCCCGGGAGGUUUCUUCUUUUUCUCUCGUUGAGGUGCCACAGUCCCUGUCAAGACGGACACCUCCCGCUGACUCCUACUCCCAGCCAACAGCCAAAUUGGUAAAACCCUCCCUCAGACCCCAUUACAAUAAUUCUUUCUUCCUUUUUUCUUUCUUUUUUUCAGCCUUUGCCAGGAAUAUCUUCAUGUGGAAUUUGCUGAGAUGUUGCAACUUCUAUUCAGUUCAUUUCAAGUCAGGACAAUGAAACAGUGCAGGGCAGGGUGCUGAAGCUGGAGAGGAUCACAGAAGGGAGAAGUUCAUACAUUUAUGGUCACUUCGGACUGCUGAAUUUCACUUUCACAUAUUGCAGCACAGUACUCGUGGAACAGGCUUCGGUGCAAUUUCCCAUGGACACAGGACUUAUGCAACCAGUGUGCUGCCUGGCCAUGCAGAUCUCCGACUCCCUCCCUCUCUGUCCACCCUCCUGCCUCCAGCAAUCCCUGAACACAUCUGAUCUCUGCCACCAGGAGCACAGGUCUCACAAACAGCCUACGGCUUUCAUGACUGCAAGCUGCUCCUCGGUGAGGAGAGGCAGCUCGUUGUGCCAGCCCAGGGUGAGCUUACACCUCAUUAGAAACCAGAGAAACCACAUGGGAGGUGAUCUCACAAAUGCUCCAGCUGUGGGAAAAGAUUCAACUGUGGCUUCUCCAUCAACAUGAGAUGCAAAUCCCAGGGACCUGAGCUUCACUUUCAUUCAGGCUCCUGGAGAGGUGGCCUUUAUUUGCAUUGAAGAAGAGGAAAUGGAAGGACUCAGAAGACUGGUGGCCAGAAGAGGAGCAGGAAGACCCUGCAUGUCCAGUAGACCAGAGACCCUACAAGUCUAAGGCACAGAGACCUGAUAAGUCCAAAGAGACUGGCAGCCAUUCUUACUAAUUUCUUGCUGAAAUGUGGCUCUGGAGAGUUUUGUGAAACUGGAGAGCAUUAUGUGUUUUUGACUGGACCUCAUACUCUAACAUCUUGCUUCCCUGAGCUGCCAUAUCAGCAUGUUAUUUUCUAUACCUUUUCCUUGCACUUCAGACAUUUAUUUUGUGUUCCAAUCUCCUCCUCCAUGUCUACAACACAUCCUUAACCCUCAUUUCCACACUCCCACAUAAUCUACUGGAAGGGUGAUUUUUUUGGCAUUUGUGAGCGGUGUUAACAAGGAUCAGAUGGUGCCAUUGUUUAUGAAAGAACCAGGUUUCCUUUACCAGCUGUGGCAUGCACCAGUAAAAAAAAAAACAUCCAGCAGUGUGGACUUUACAGUGGAGUUCUUGUAUUUAGCAGGUGAAAAGUCAAUACUCUACCUGUAAUGAGAUUCGGUCAUGGAAAACCCCUUGAAGUUGUUUUUAGCAACGAGGCAUUAGUCACCCUUGGACAGCUGCUGGCCACUCGGCGCUUCUGGCUCGCACCGCGCCACGUGCAAGGGCUGUUUUGAAGGCUGCUCAGUGUUAAUGGUGACUCUUGCUACGCCUCAGGUGUUGAGUUUAAGCACAUGGUUUCUGGUUAUUUUAGGAAAACAUGAGCUCAUGUUCCAAGCAGCCUUCCCUCCAGUGAGAAGUUCAUUGCAGCCCAUCCCUGUGCAUGGGGCUGGGGAUGGUUAUACCCCGUGUCUUUGGGGGACUAGUGUGCCUUGGGUUUUCUUCCAAGUCUGGGGAUAUGGGAUGGUGUGAUGAUGAAGUGGUGAGAUGAUGCAGUGCUGUGAUGGGGCUGUGCUGGGGAGUGCCUCCAAAAGCAUCACCAGAAGCCUGAUGGCCACCCAAAGCAUUUUGCUACGCCCAAUGCCCUUGUGGGUGGUAGCCUGCCCAUGCUGAGGAACUGAGGGUGUGUUUGGAGGAUAUGAAGAGGUUGGUCAGGGAACUCAUGGAAAUGCAAGUGCAAGGGCUGAGAAAAAGGUGCUUUCUGUGUCAUAGACAUAGGUUAGGCAAAGAGGAGACAGCAGAGAGGUGAGAUCAUGGAGCAAGGAGGAGUGGAAUCUAUUAGAGCAUCAAAUGGCUGGAUUAAGUCAUACCACGUGAAGGCUAAGGCAGCUCCUAAAGAAAGGGAAAAUACAGGUGAUGAAGGAAGAAGUCAGUUUAACAGACCUGAAAUCUGGCCUGCCUGCAGAAAUGCGGGCUUGGAGCAAUGACCUUCUUUGGGAAGAAAAGGAUAAGCUGCUGACCAGUGGAUGCUUACCCAUUUCCUCCACCCCAUGGCUUCCCCCAGUCUCCAGCAUUGGCUGAGUAGGAAGGGACCUUUGCUCAAGGAGAGUGCUGGAUUUUCUGGCUGGUGGACAAGGGCAAGGAAGACCUGGUGAGGACAGUUCUUGCACUAGAUAUGGAGAGUGGGGAUCCAUGUUGAUGAGUGUCAGGAACUAGUGAGGGGGAACCACAAAAAAUGGUCAGCAAGGGUCCUGUCUCUGGGACCAGCCAACCCUUUACUUCCUCUGCAGCUCAGGCAGAGUUUGCAGAGAAGAGAGUCUGAUAAUACAUUGUCCCCACUUUAUAAGCAAAUAUCUUGAAAUAAUACAUACAGCUUUUGCUGAUAUCUUCAUCAUAGAGCAAUCUAAGGGUGUGCGUAGCUUGGAUCUGACAAGCAGAUCUCAGAAAACUUCUUCUGAUAGAGAGUGCAUUUAAAUGGAGAUGACAGGGAGAAUUUCAAUUUCAAUUUCUUCGAUAGAUAUGACCAAAAAAACAGAGCAAAUGUGAAAGUGUUAGAAAAGAAACAGAAUUUCAUUUAGACAUCUUGUGUUGAAACAUUGUGAUGUCUUUCUUUGAGAACUUUCAGAGCCACUGUACCCCUCAUUCAAGACACUUAGAAAAACCAAGACAUGAGAACAGCAGAAACCAGGCAGAACAGUCUUGUUGAGGCUUCUUGAGAGAGGAAAAGUGGUUGUUUCAGCUGUUGAAUUAUUCCUUCAGUUCUACUGCUCAAGUUCUCCUGAGUUGCUCCAGUGGCACCAUGGAGUCUUAAAUCUAGCCAAAGGAUUCUCGUGGUGCAGGGAAACCCCUGUGUAGCCUCAAGCCAGGGAAGUUGUUUAAGUGAGGCUACAGUUGUGUUUAGACCAGGAAUGGUUCUCUGUAUAGGGCUGGAAGCAUGUGGAAAGGCACAAUGCAGCUGAGAAGUUCCCUCCUCUGUUUCCAUUUUGUGGCUUCUGCAAUAAUCUGUCAAAGGAACCUUAUAAACCCCUAAGUGGUGGGGUUUUUAAAGCAUGGCUGUUAUGGUAAUGGUUUAAUGCUGCCUCCUUUGUUAUGUGUUAAUGGUGCCUUCCUCUUAAGUCUACUAAUAAAAGAAACUUAAACAUCAAUGUGAAAGUCCUUGUAAAGUUACAAAUCAAACACAUUUGUGCUGUUUUCCCUGACAGGCAAGACACUGGCAUGCCUCUGCGUGGGGUUUAGCAUCAGACCUUAACCAGGGAGCUGCAUGCCCACUGCUGUGCAUUUGGGGUCACCUGUUCCACAUAUGGGGCAGAGCCGUAAAGGAGUGUUUUACACAGUGAAAAGUCUCUUAAACUUAGGUGAGAAGGGGAGGAAAGGGAAAGGAUGGGGAAAGUUUAGACAGAUGAGGAAUAAUAGAGAUGAAUCCGGAUAGAAUGAUUCAUCAUCUCUAUCACACUUUGAUGAUCUCCUUAAUAUAACUUUUGAAUCAGACUGUGGAAUAUAUUCACAGAGAAGUUUUUCCUCGUGAGUGAGUUCUCCAGACUUAUUCACGGGUGUAUGGAAAAC